rnacentral:lncRNA from 1 species
UGGAGGGGUUGGUGAGUCAUACAGUGAGACCGUCACGUAGAGACAAACAGCCCAAAACAAGGCUUGGUCUGACUUAACCACAGGGCAUUAUGAGCACAGCCGUCUAUCCUCGUAUUUAUUGAAAUGAAACUGAACCGCUGACAGCAGAGAGACGCUGCAUUUCAGCCUGUUUACUGCUUCACUUCCUGCUUAAUCCGCCUAUAGGGAUCGCUCACGUUUCUUCGAGUUGUUACAUGUUUAUAUUUUAUAUUACGAGUAUAAAGAUUAGGAGUCUAUAAAUUUAGACUCUAGUACAAACAGGUAUAGACGGGCUCUGUCCAUGGUGCUGAAACAAGUUGGGGUCGCUGUCCGUGGUGCUGACACCAAGAGGCGAUUUUUGUUACAAAGCAAGUCAAAUUUAUCAAAGCUCUAUAAUCAUCAAUACUGAGCAUUUAUGAGUGUAAUUCAAAUAUCUUUGGGUAUUUUUUUGAUUGAUUGAAGUUUAAUUUGAAUGUAUAAAAUAAUAAUAAUAAUAAUAAUAAAGUAAAGAAUACAGCAACAAAUGACAAAAAGUUAUUCCUGUUAAAAAAGGAGUGGGAAGAAGUCGAGACUUAUCUAGUCCCACUCCUUCUCCUACACUAAUGGUUUAAAUAUAUGUCAUCAUAUUAUAUAAUAAUAUUAAUCAUCAUUGUCAUCAUAAUAAUAAUAGCAAAAAUAACAAAACAAUGAUGAUAAUGGUAAUAGUUACUGUGAUUGUACAUCCCUGUAUCCAGUGAAAACAAAUUCCUUAUAUUUUGUUUUAAACUGUUUUACGUUUGGAUAUUGUUUUAACUCCUCACCUGUAAGGAUGCCUAGCCCAGGUUCACACUUUAAAAAAACGGAAGGUCUACACGAAUGAUCAUUUUGACAAGUUUUACUGGUUUUAGAUCUGGGUUACCGCUUCAUCAUGCCCUAAGUGUACCACGAGUGUCACCUAAGUGUAAGACAAAGUGUAACAAAGAUUGGUCUGAGACCGUUCAAGUAUAUAUAGUCGUCCACAUUUCCAAACAUUCCGCUUGCAUUUUGGUGACCUAAGGGAAAGUCAAUGUAAGGUAAUAACAAAGCACAACAUAUUUUGGGAGCCCAAGUUAUGUUAAACAUGAGCACAAGGUAGAUGUUGAGGAUAGUUGUCGGAGGCUCCAGAAAUCUAGCACCAAAGUAUCUGAAGUAUUUGAGUGACUGGCUAAAGAAAAUCAUCCUAACAUCACCCAAACCAUUCCACAGUCUCGCCCCACAGAAUGAAAUGCAAAAUGGUUUUCUACUUGUGCGGAUUUUAUUAAUUUUGAAGUUAUACUUCCCUCUCCCCUCUCGAUCCCCAAACAAAAUCUGUAUAUUUUGUGGUAGAAGGUUAUUUUUAGCUUUAUGUAUAAUUUGUGCUGUUUGGAAUUUCACAGUGUCAGUAAGUUUAAAUAAUUUUGACUGUAAGAAGAGUGAGUGAGUGAGUGAGUGAGUGAGUGAGUGAGUGAGUGAGUGAGUGAGUGAGUGAGUGUGAUCCAGAUACCUGACAUAAUGAAAGACCCUUAUUGCCCUUUUUUGAAGAAUAAUCAGUGAAUUGAUUGAAUUCAUACAGUUACUGCCCCAAAUCUCUGCACAGUAUCCUUAUUUGACUGUUAUAUAACUGAUAUACUUUUGAUUUAGUGCAAGCUGCUAGUUUAAGGAUUCAUAUUUUCCUACAGAAUAUAUACAUAUAUAAAGGACUACAAGGCCUUAUGUGAAAGAGAGUUAAUGUAACCGGAAAACAAUAGAUCGAACAGCUCCGACCUCUUAAACUCAAACUGGAUAUUUUUAGUUUAGUCACGACCAAGAUAAAGCGGACAUAAACUCUUCUUUGUUCUGUUGUGCUUUAAAAAACACUGACAAAAUCAAAACACGGCUCUCAGAUUGUCCCAGAAUGUGUUUCUCUAUUAUACAUUUACUAGUUUGCAUCAAAUUGUCUAUUCGGUCUAUUUUUCUCAGUCCCACGCCUUCAGAUUCCCAUAGAUGCAAAUUCUCCACUUUCUAAGAGGGAGUCCUUUCUUUUAAAAAAGCUUUUCUCUUUUGUUGGCAUGCAACCACUUGAUUUUACAUGAACUGAGAGAGAAUCUAGAGUGGACAGAAAAGGGAGAGGGCAUAGCACCUCCCACGUCCUUCCUGUGAGAGAAGGAGAGAGAGAGAGAAAGGAGGAUAGAGAGGGAUAGAGAGAGAGGGAUAGAGAGAGAGAGAGAGAGAGAGUCUGCUGUGGUGGCGCUGGAAAAUCGGUCGACAUGAGCUCUACAUGAACCGUGUAAAAUGCUUUAAGACGCUUUCGGCGUUUGUCUUUCAUCCGUCUAAACCAAGGACGAGCCUGAAGCGGAGCUACACACUUCCACGACCAGGUAUGUCGGUGUUGCUCAUCCCUCUUUUCCCUCUUCCAUGGAGGUUACAUGUUGGUAUUCAGCGGCGUUACCGCGGUGCUGCUCCCGCUGCUGCUGCUGCUGUUUGGCCGUGUUCUGUGCGCACACCAUUACGCGCAUUAACAGCUUUGUUUUCUCUCUUCGUCUCAUUUCUCUGUUGUUUUAUGGUCAUCCUCACACUCGGCUCUCUACUCUUAUCGUGUGGAAAUCUAUGUCGCCUAUAUGCCCGCACAGCCAUAUUGGCAGUCAGCGGGAGAGGGAGAGGGCAGAGAUAUGAGGGUGUUGGGUUUAUCAUAUUGCUUUGAAGAGUAGGGAGGGGAGGGGAGGGGGGGAGAGACGUGGCGGCGGCGGUGGGGGGGUUUCUGCGACUGCGAAACGAUGGCACCGCUGUGAGAUGGCGAUCCUCUGGUAUUUAUGAAUGAAUCCGGCAGAGUAGGGUGGUCUGUAAUGGCGUUGCAUACCAAAAUUGCGCACCGACGGCAAGCCCUCUCCUCGCCACCCCCUUCAUUCCUGACUGAGAUGAACGUCAACAUUAGACUCCACGGUUAUAAUGACGCCAGCGUGACGCAUAAAGCCUGAUUUCUGGUGCAAAAGCCACGGUUAAUCCUCCAUCUGGAUCUGUAUUUGCUCCCCCGUCUCCUCCGCGCAGUGCCUGAUGGACUGUUUGUUUGUUUGUUUGUUUUCCAAAAACCGUCAUGACAUGCAAAAGGAGUUGUGAAUCAUUCAGGCCAAUCUCUAUGUAUAUGUGACUAUGUAUGUGACUCAACUUCCUGUAUGCAUUGCCAGUCAUGGGUGUGAGUGAGUAAGUGUGUGUGUGUGUGUGUGGGUUGCAGAGGAAAAAGAGAGAGGAGAGCAAAGAUGUAUGGCAGUAAAUCCUGUGAUUAAAGCUCUAAAGUGUGUGGUUGGGUGUAGAAUAGAGAUGCAGAUGUUAAAGCAUGCAUGGGGGGGGGGGAUAAGUGGAUGUGUGUGGGGGAGAGUGUUGAUGGCUUGCCCGCCCGUUUGUUUGUUUGUCUGUCUUGAAUGGCCACACUAUGGUUGCAUAAGAAGCGAACACUUCUCCGAGCCGUGGCAGGACAAAGAAAUGACUCAAUACACAGAAACAAGGAGAGACACAGAAAGAUGUGAUGAUGCUGCUAAUGAUGCUGUCGUUUCCCAUGGUGCUGUAUCCCGAUGAUGAAUGAUGAUUUUUUUCUUUCGACCCGUUGAAUCACAGUAGCAAAGCCCCUGUGAGAUAACCGGGGUCCGGAGGGGCCAGAUGUCGAGGAAGAUGCGCCGUCUUUCGGGGGCUUAGAUUCUCAUCCAGAGGCGGAUCAGCUGGUUCUGCACACACAUGCAUCCUCCAGUUUUAUUUGCAGUGAGCAUGACUGGGUCCAACUGGGGAUGUUCAGCACAGAUUUAGUAUUUAAAGAAAAGCGGUUAUUAUCAUCACUUCAUCAUUGGGAUGAUUUGGAAUGGAAAUGUGAAAAAAAGUGAAUGUUGAGGGCAAAUAAAUGCAGCAGUUCUCUUAGUGCACUGUUGUCGAGAUGAGUUUUUAGCUGGUUAUGAAACAACCGAUGGCCUGUUAUGAGCUGCAAAAGCAAAGAAGAACAGCAUAAAGAUCUGACUAUCCUCAAAGAGGUUUCAAAGGGACUAAUAGUUAAGAUGGACGUAUAAAUCAUGCCUCUCCAAAGGUAAGAAAAGAGUGAAAGAAAGAGGACAAUUUAUCGGACAUGGCUGCACAGAAGAUCGUAGAAUCUGUGGGUAAAUAUUGUUAUAGUAAUAAUAGUCAUAAUAAUAGUGCAUCAGAUUUUAUAGUGCUUCUUGUCAGUGACCUCAAAGCUCUUUACAUUGGGUACAUCAUUCAUCCGCUCACACAGUCACACCCUGGUGGUGGUAAACCAUGAUCACGAUAUAUUCUGUCAUAUCGUCCGAUCUCGAUUAUUAUCACGAUUUUUUUAACUGCCUGUUUUAAAGCAUCUGUACUAAAAACUAAAAAAAAACUAGUUUCGCCAACAUAUCUCGCACAUCGGCUUAAUUGCUCGACGUCACUUUGGAGAUACCUGAACGACCGCCACACAACCGACAUUGAAUAACUUCUCAACAAUAACAUCUUUGGAGAAUAACUCAAAGUUACGGAUGACAUCUAUCUUGCUGCCCUCAGCUCAGCGUUUAGCUUCAUGAACGGUCGUUCUGUUUACUUCUCCGACAACUUACAGAAGUGAGCAGGAAAAGCUCGACUCUGAUUGGCUGUUGUGACGCGCAUUCCCGCUAUGUCUGAUUGAGUAAAUAUGCUCACAGCUGAUCACAGUGAUCGAACUGAAAUUUAUCACGAUCAUCGAUCACGAUCAUAUAAUCGCCCAGUCCUACUUGGUAGUCACAGCUGCCCUGGGACAGACGGGCGGAAACGUGGCUGUGGUCUCUCUGACCACCACCACACAACCCUCACAAUCACACACCAGUGGAGGACACACACUGGGAGCAAGGUGGGUUAAAUGUCUUGCCCAAGUACACAACAGACAAGACUAGGGAUAGGGCGGGACUCAAACCGCCAAACUUCCAGUUAUUGGCCGACCGCUCUACCCUCUGAGCUACUGCCUCUUUUCGAGGAAAUGCCCACAUAUCUGUGCUCUGGUCACGUGGUCAUGUGCCAGUUUAACUUGACAAAGCCUAUACAGCUUGGUCUCCAUUUUUUAAAAAUCAAAAUACUGCCAAUCUGCCUCGAGUGGCGAGGUAUGGUAGUCUUAAGGAACUACAGAUUCCUGCUUUAAUGCUUCAAAUAAUCUGCGUUUUGGGUCUGCAUUAUGAUCAUUUCGAUUAUUAAUUUGGUUACUGUCUCACAAGUUUGAUAACAUAUAAUCAAUUAAUUUAAUUUCCAUACAGAUACUUUAAAUGCCUUGAACUUAAUUGAAGUUACAGCAGUUUUUUGCGACUAUUAAGGCGUAUUGCAUGGAAUUGCAGGCCUUUAUUUUCCUUAUUUGGGGGUAUUUCUGCUUUUAUUUGAUCGGACGAUUAAAGAAAGAUAGGACAGGCUGCUACGGACACGCAGUAAAGGUUUCAUAAUGGCCUCGACUCAGUGACAGCUGCAAUAAGAACUACAGUUUCUCUACGUAGCUUUAACUGCUACACUAAACCCAAGAAACAAAACUGUUUUCACUUCUAUGAUACAAUUAUGAGCCUCAAAACCAUCCGUUUUAUUGAUAAAUAAAGUUAACCGUUUCCUCUUCUUGAUUUGAAAGUCUGUCUGCCGCUCUGCCAGCAGAAGUCCUGCACCAUCAGCUAUAUAUAACAAUAUACUGCGUAAAGUCUGCUUCUGUAACAGAUCAAUGCUAAAGGGUUUCAGCUCUUCUGACAGCACCGGCUCAUUGAAAAGGUCUAUAUAGUCUUCAUUAUACAUAGCAUUCAGCUGAAUUGUCUUGGAUGUGCAUAACUAAUCGAAGGCCAGGAUGGCUGUUCUGGCCAAUUAUGCAAACCAUGACCUCCGAGUCCUCGUGUUUUAUUUGACAUUUUGUUCAAAUGUCAGAUGUUCGUUUAAUGUAAAGCACCAUUUCCACCUUCCGUCACUGAAUCAGGAUAACUGAGAGGAAAUUAGCGCUGUUUAGUGUUUUCGGUCACAAGGAGCAGGUUUACGGUGCCGCCCCGUUUUUAACCAUCCGUGUUGUUAUCAGACAUUUGAUCCACUGGUGUUAUGAAAGAAGCCGUCUGACUGAAAUUUCAGGAGAAACCAGUAGAGUCCAUUUAAAACGACCAACCCUGUCACCAUCUGUCACUCGAGGUUUCUGCAACCCACUCUCCCAGUCUGUAAUUAGUGCUUCAGUCAGGUCAGGGCCUUCACAGUAGCUGAGAUUGUGCUGUCUCAAAAAAUAAAAUAUUCAAAUGCAUAGUGCAGACUUGAAAUAGAACACGAACCCUCCAACACAAGCUCUUUCUUCCUUUUUCUUUGCAUUAUUCUGUUGCUAAAAGUCAUUUGCCACCGUGUUUCUCAGAUUUGCAGGCUUUGGUAUUAACAAAGUCUUAGGGAGAGGCCAGACGGAGCAUCUCAUGGAUCUCCUGGCCAGGCUAAUACUUAAUACUUCUAAUAUAAACACACACGCACUAACUAUACGGCCCUCUUGCAUCGAGUUCUGCAGAGACAGUGUUAGGAGGGUUGGCAGAUAAGAUUACGCAAAAUCUUUCCCAGAGUCACUGAAUAUUUCAGACAUAUUAGGGAGUAGAUGAAGGUGAGAUAUGAAGUACAAAGGCUGCUGUGUGCCGCUGGCUGUUUUUCGCUCAUAAAGCUGAAGAAAGUCAGCAUCUGUCUUUUGGUAAACAGGUGCCACAAGGUAUCAUUUCCCUUUUCAGAAAUCUGACAACACAACACUAAAAUUUUCAUCUGAAUUUUUUGACUAAAAGGCCUCAGCCUGUGGCCUACCAGAUGAUCUUAACCAGAGAUAACCUUUGCCUUCUGCGUCUAUCAUAUUUGGCCUUUCUUCAUCAUUGAUACUUUUAAUGUGUCCGUUUCUUAAAGCAAAAACGAGCUCUUGUGCCAACAGGCUAAAUGCUAAUGCUGAUAUUUAUAUUUGGAUUUUGCAGCAUGACCUGUGAGAAACUCUGUUGCUUUAUAUGUGAAAUUGUAAAUAUCGUAAAACUCCAAUUAGAAAUUUUGGGUUAGUUAUAAGAGAGACUUAAUUCAAUACUUAUGCCUCUUUACAGCAAACAACAACCAACAAUAGCACCAGUAAAAAUGCAGAAUCUGUUUUACGUCCAAAGCUAUUGCCGCAGGGUUGGAGUCAGACUGUUUGAUUAACAUUAACCUGUUAAAACAGUCUGUUUAUAUUCUCCAUCCAUUUUCUACCACUUUUUCCUGUUGGGGGUCGCGGGGGGCUGGAGCCUAUGCCAUCAUGCCACGCUCACAUUCACACCUAUGGACAAUUUGAAAGUGGCCAAUUAACCAAACCCCACUUCUGCAUGUUUUUGGGAUGUGGGAGGAAACCGGAGAACAUGAAGUAAACCCACACAGACACAGGGAGAACAUGCAAACUCCACACAGAAACGCCCUGACCCAGAUUCGAACCCACGACCUUCUUGCUUUGAGGCGACAUUGCUAACCACUACACCACUGUGCCGCCCGUGUUCAUAUUUCAAUAAAUUUCCUCAGUGGCUAGUAGAUUUGGCAGCUAAAAGACAGGAGGGUUUAGAUUUCUUUCAGGAAAGUCGUCUUACACAAGUACAGGACAAGAGCAACAAAGAGGUAAGAGUUACUCUUUUGUCCACAGGAGGCACCAAAAACAACACGACCAAAAGCUCCUCACAAUUGGCCUGUGAUUGAUGCUCUGGUUGAAAUUGACCUGAUUUACCUCAUCUUAAAAACUGCAAAAUGAAGCUUAAUCUUAUUUUCCUGCUCUGGAGCAGAUAUAAAAAUGUAGAUCUGCUCUCAAAAACUAAAAACUUCCACCAAGUCUUUCAGAUUGUCCUACCAUGUUAUGUGUGAAUGGUUUUCCCCUCUGCAUCAGACAUUUAAUGUUCUGUCAGUACUUCUCUAUGUAACCGAUUGACACUUCUUCACCCUCCUCUUUACAUGGGAUGGAGUCCACCAUCCCUUCCAAAGAUUCAAACUGAUCUGGUUGUUUAUGUUGUGUUUUAAAGACACACACCAGUUGCUUAAAUUGCUGUAGUAAUAAACCCCGUGUGCUGUGAGAGGUGCCUAAUCACGGAUUAGGGAUUACAACCUAGACUAAAACUGAGACUGGAAACAAAAACAAAAACAGAUGCUAUCUUGAACACUUUUUAUAGUGUAUAUUUGAAAAAAAAGAGAAACAUGGUGCUUGGAUUUGAAAGUGAAAUAAAAUAAUUGUUGUAAAAGUGAUUUAGCAAGGUGAAUCUGUCAAAGCUCCUGAGAUGACCCUAUAGUUUAUGUUGAUUUUGGCGCCCCCUGUGGACAAAGCAGUACCUCGUCUGUUUUUGAUUUUUUAUAUAUAUACAAGUAUAUAAAACAAAGCUUGUUUGCUGUGCUAGCAGAUGUGACUGGCAUUCGUAAACACCAUCAGUGUAUGAAUGUGGCAUGUAACGUAAAAGCACUAUGUUCAGUCAAAAUGCUUGAGAAAGUCUCUAUUUAUCCUGCAGCAGCAUUUAAAGGCAUUGACAAAAUCCAUAUUUUUUUGCAUAUGGUUCCUUUUGCAAUUUUAGUUCAAUUAAUAUCACCCUGAUUCAUAACCAGCUGAAAAUUCCUCACAGGAGCUUUAAGUUUUGCUGUACAUUAUUAGACUGUAUGUAAAUAUUGCCCCUCUUAUUAUUUAGUGUGAUAUCCCGUGACGUUGGUGCUAGUGCGCGCUGAAUCAAAGGUAUUCACUCGAGGUAUCAGAUGGUUUCAGCGUGCAUCAAAAGCUGCAUUGAGUCUUAUUGGGAGACUGCUGGUAACUUAAGUCCUGGGAAUUGGGUCAAUGCAGAGCAGGCCAGGACCACAGAGGAGGUUAAGCUCAAUGAUUAGCUACUAAGCCAAGACCACAGUGCAGCAAUCUCUUGUACAGUCUAAGGCACACAGUCAAACGCAUGUAGGGUGGUGUACACUCAAUCACAGUAUAUAGAUUGACACUGAUGAGAGAAGCAGUCACACUCAUCAGGCAUACACUCAGGUAUCACUCAGAGGAGGUGAGGGGAUUGUUUCUAUGCUCUCAUUGAUUGAUCUGUCCGGCUACUCUCCACUGAGAUAAACAGCCACUCAUGCUGUGAAAUGCAGAUUUAUCAAGUUUAAUUUCGAUUGGACACACAUUUCAAUUCCUCUCUGGAUGAAGAUAAUUCUCAUAAAGAUUGUAUUGAAAAAUCAUGUAGAGACACUUGCUUACGUGAAGUUCAAUGAUUUUGAUGCUUAUAGAGAUGUCAAUCAAUCAUCCUUUUAACAUGAAAUAAUAAAUCAUGAUCAUCAUUCUCUGAAAACUUAACACUUUAAAGUACUUCUAGUGGCAGAGAUAAUAUUUGAGAAUCAUUUAUUUGGCCGAUAUUUUAAUUUUUCUGUUUGAUUCAUGUUCCAUCUGUUGGCAUGGAGGAGGCGGGCUUAAAGACCUUUUACUGCUUAAAGUUCUUCUCUGUUACAUUAACUGCAUGUUUACCUGCACAGAGCUCUCUGGAAUAGAGCUGAGCAGUGAUGGAGCCACUUUGGUAACACUUUACAAUCACCAUAAUUUAUAAAUGGUAAAUAGAUAGUUGUUAAACUUUUAAUCAUCAUUUAAAAACAGCAUAUAGACCAAUUAUAAAUGGCAAAUAGAUAGUUUAUUAAUGUAAGUUAAUAGUUACUUUACCAUUAUCAAGCAAUGAAAUUAUGAUUAAUCAUUUUUAUUAAUUAUUAAUGGACUAUUAAAGGUUUAUAAAGGGUUUAAAUGUUGGUUGUAAAACAUCUAGAUUAAAAUUUGUGUCAGUAGCACUUUGUAAAUGGUUAAUAUUUGGUUUUAAACCAUCUAUAAACAUUACUCAGAUGGUUAUUGUAAAGUCAGGGUUAGGUUUUUAAAAUUGUAAAAUGUAUAAUUUAUUUAUGGUCUAUAUGCGAUUUAUAAAUGAUGAUUAAACAUUAAUAAACUAUCUGCUUACCUUUUAUAAAUGCUCUAUUCACCAUUUAUAAGUUAUGGUUAUUUAAAAGUGUUACUGUCACUUUUGAUCAACUUUUCCUCCCCUAUGAUUUCAAGGUUAUAAACAUAAACCUUGUGAGGCGCUGGUUUGUUUGAGGAGACUUCUUAAUUCUAGAAAAUAAAUGAAGCAGCAGAGUUGGGCGGCACGUCUGCGGACAAAUCAGUCACUUGUAAGUCAGCAUGCAUCAUUUGAAGGUUGUUAACACGUCGGACAAAAAACAGCCAAAACCAAGGGCAUUUUUAUACUGAGGAUGCUGAAGUGAAUUCAUCCUGGAUUGAAAAUAGACACUGCCGCAAAAAAAAAUUGCAAGGAAGCUGCUUUUAUUGUAAUUACAUGCAGCAAUAGUUAAAAUGUGCUUUUCCCCUUUUUUUUUCGAACAAAAGUGUCACUUUUUUUAAUCUUUUGUGAGCAGUUUUUCCACAGGUUUUUCAUUUUUGGGAGGUUUAGUUUUGCAGGAGCGUGACUGAAUAUGUGAGACUGAAUCAAAAGUCAUCAAUUGAACCUCCUCAGUCUGCUCAAACCCUCAUUAAACUGCCCUGUUCUAAAAACUGCUCUCUCUCAAAAUGCAGAUUCAUUCCUCUGGUAAAACACACACACACUAACACACACACAUGCGCACGCACUUGAAAAUCCUAAGCUGAUGCGUGCACGGAGAACAGGGAAUCUCUCGCUUCACUGCACAGAUUCAAUCACACACACGCACAUGUUCAUACACUAUCCUCCAGUCUGGCGGCCGGAGAAACUUGGUGCAGGUUUUGAGGCAUUUUUGAAGAGUGUGUAUAUGUGAUAGUGUUUGCAAAAUACGUCUGGAAGAGGCAGAAAUAUUUCAGAAAAUCCCCGAGCUGAAAAUCUGUUGAUCCUGUAAAACACUCGUCGCAAAAGAGUCGUGUAUGCACAGCAUUCCUGUAUCCACGGCUUGAUUAAAGCCUUUUUCUCCACAAGAUACCAUGGGAGCGCUUUGUGGGUGUCUAUUUAAUCACGCUCUUGAUCUGUUGAAUGGCAUUGUGUUUGAUGUUGGUUAAUGCGCUUCCUUUGUGCCGUGUGUAAGUGGCUCUCUUGAGGGAAAUUAUGUGCAUAUUUUUGCUAAAGGUGACAUUUCCUUGCUUGCUCCGAGAAAGAAACGAGCAGAAAAUGUGUUUUCUGACUGAGAGGACAGUCGGGGCCUGUUUGGUCUGUGCCAAAGCUAUCUUGCUAAUGGAGUUUGGCUGCACUGCCACAGAUGCAUUUACAGUGUGCCAUUAAUUCAUUAAGGAACUGCAGUCCUCUCAUUUCAAAUAAAACAAGAGAAGAGGGGAGGGGGGUGAAGCAGAGACAGCUUGCAUUUGGGAGGAGUGUGAUUAAUCUCAGAGGCCUGGUGUCAAGGACAAAUGGUGAAGAAGCGGAAGUACAGUGUGUCAGUGUACGUGUGCUUUCAUGUGUUUGUGUGUCACUCUGGGGUUGCACCUGUGUGCGCAGCUAUAGCCGCUGACAGAGGGAGGGAGAUGGCUAAUUUUAGUCCAGGUGAAAGAAGGGUGGGUAGAGAGGAGCACCGUUGUCAAGCAGCUGAAAUCCUCGUAUGAAAAAAAAAAACCUGACAGGCACCAAGCAAGGCAGGAUGAGAGACUGACAGGGCCCAGACAGACGAGCCCCAUCGAUCAAAACCGCAGUGGCCUGAGUUUAUUGAUCAAACAGCAUGGAAACCUGUGGUGUAGAGGAGGAACAAAAAGGAGCUCCAGGAGGAGGUCAGAGGAGUUAUAUUCAAAAUGCAUAAACGAGGAAAAGAUGGCACUGAUAUGUAAAUGGAUGGAGUAUAAAAGAAAACCUAGAUUCAUCAUUAUUAAAAAUCUAGCUCUACAUUGCAACACUAUCCUUAUAGAUAUGUGUGAUAUUUGUAUUUGAGCACCUCUCUGUAUAUUCAUUCAUUCAAACUUUCCCAAACUGUAUUUUGGACUAAAGCCAUGUUUUCAAUUAAAAGUAACACUGCAUUCAGGAAGAGGAACGAUGCUACACUGCUAAAAAUAAACCAGACAGGACAAGAAAUCCCCUCCUCUGCUGAGUUUUUCUUUUUUCUUUUGAGGAGACAAUGAAGGCAAACUAGCUUUUACAAUCUUGCUAAACGAUUGGGGUGUUUCUCAGAAUUGGCCGAGGCCAAUGUGGCUUUGUUGCUGUGUCGACAAAUUUCUUCAAUUAUUCUAAUCCUGAUGUAAUUUAUUUCUGGGAAGUUGGAGGAGGCGCAGCGAUCCAUAUACUGCAAAUAGUCGCUGAAUGCAAAACCAGAAGACAGAGAAUUAUUUGGAUCAUUUAUGUCCAACUGUAUAUUUUUAACCUUGUAUUCAACAUCUUUUAUUGCUCUGUUUUUGGUCUCCUCCAAGCAACAAGUGCAUAUCUAGCUUCCAAACUGCUGCAUGCCUCAGCAUGUUGUUGAACCAACUUUAGUAACGACCGCACGAUAGCAAUACACAACGGUCUGCGGAGCCAUAAACAAACCUCAACCAAAACGCCACUCUAUAGCCACAAAUAAUGCUCAGAACAGCACCUAACUUCAUCAACAGUACAUAUAGGGUCACAGCCACAACACUAGCCACCAAACAUCUUUUUAACUUUGCCUAAUUUUUUUAGCAAAGAGACUAAACACAGCUCACCUACUCUCUUCCAGCAGCCGUGUGUAGGGAGACCCCAUGACAGUCCAUUACAGACUACAGCGGGGCGACACAGCUCAAGGAAGAACAUUUAUGAUAAUUUCUUAAUGGAAAUACAAUCAGACUGAGACGCUAAGGCAGAAGAACUAGGCAGAAGGUGAUUAUAACUCCAAGGAAAUGAUGAAGAAAUGAUCAUAAAUGUUCUUCCUUGAGCUGCGUUACCCC